CAGGUUUAAAAUGCUGUGGCUGCUGAGAACAAUGUGCCUUAUCCAUGUACUUGGAAAAAUAUUUUGUUUAAUUGGACAAAACAAGAAUCCUGAAUCUAACAUGAAUGUUGAAUAUGAGGUUGUGACUGAUGAUGGUUACAUUCUUCCAAUUAACCGAAUUCCUCAUGGGAAGAACAAUGCUAAUAGUUCAGCCCCAAAGAUGGUAGUAUUUUGUCUCCAUGGCUUGUUUUCAACUGCUGGUAUAUGGGUUUCCAAUCCUCCUGACAACAGCCUGGCCUUCAUCCUAGCAGAUGCUGGGUAUGAUGUGUGGUUGGGAAACAACAGAGGAAGUACCAGGGCAAAGAAACAUGUGACGCUCAACACAGAUUCUAAAGAAUUCUGGGCUUUUAGUUAUGAUGAGAUGAUAAAAUAUGACCUUCCAGCCAUCAUUAAGUUCAUUCUGGAGAAAACAGGACAAAAGCAGAUUUACUAUACUGGCCAUUCUCAAGGAACCCUAAUCGCUCUGGGGGCAUUUGCAACAAAUCAAGAACUGGCUGAAAAGAUUAAACUCAGCAUUUUAAUAGCUCCAGUUCAUACUGUUAAAUAUGUCAAAGGUGCUGGGCGCCUUCCAGCUUAUUUCACUCCAACGGCUUUCAAGACUACUCCUCCUGUAUACAAUGUGGAAGACAUGAAGGUUCCAACUGCCAUGUUUAGUGGUUUAAAAGAUUUUUUGUCUAACCCAGAAGAUGUUGCAAAUUUGGUACCCAAAAUCUCCAACCUCACAUACCAUAAGAUUAUUUCUGAUUUUAGUCAUCUUGAUUUUAUAAUGGGAUUAAAUGCGAGGAAAGAGGUUUCUGAGGAAAUUUUAACAAUUCUUAGGAAAUAUGAUGGUGACAUACAGAUUUAGCUUUUUGCAUGUUUUUAAACGUUUCUGAAAGUCUCUUGCUGUUAUAAGUGCAAAUAUUGUCUUGUUUGGCAUUUUCCUCCUUAAUUAUCUUUUUUUUUUGAAAGCUAUUGGUUUAUUUGUUGCAGUAAUGAAAUCUAUGACCAUCAAAAGAAUACUUCAUCUUGUGACUGUUUUAAAUUAAGCUAAGUUCAUAUAUUUUUGAAGUGAUUUUUCCUGAAUAAAAGACUUGCUUUUAAUUUACAGUAAUGAAAUCGUAAUAUACUGAUAAAGAAAGAGGCCUGGCCCAUUUGUGAUAUCAGACAUGAUGCUGUCGGAAGAACAGAUCAGAACACAUUUCAUACAUUAGAACCAAGGCUAUAGAAGGACAGGUAAUCUUGUUGCUUAGAUCACACAAGUCUUAGUGACUAGUCGAAAUUCAAACUUUCCAUCACAACAAAGGUGUGGAUCAGCCACUGUUGAAUAAGUCACUUAUGUCAGUAGUCUCUGGCAUGAGGGGAAGAGGAAAUAUUUAAAGUGAUAUAAGAUAUUUAAAAUUAUCCACAGAAUUGAUCAUUCAUUCCCUGUAAAAUAAAGUAUUUUGAACUUUCUUUGCAACACAAAGUGACCACAAAUUCAAACACACAAUUUUAAUUUUAUUAUUAAAAUUUUAAUCUAAUUCUUAUCUUUUUAAUCCUAAAGUAAUAAUUCUGGGCAUAGUUUAAACAAUAUAAAGAGUAACCAUGCCCAGUCUCAAAUGUAUUAUUCUUGCAAUAUUUUCCAUGAUUAUAAAGAUGUGUGUGUGUGUGUCUGUGCAUGUGCACAUGUGCGCAUGUAUGUUAAGUUCCUUGUAUUCCACGUUUGUGUAGGUCUUUUAACUAAUUAUAUAUUGGACUUUUGUGAAAGGCCUUUUCCCAUCUAUUGAUGUUCACAUAAUUACUGUUUUUCGUCCAUUUAUGGGAUCAUGUAUUACAUUUAUUGGCUUGGAAUAUGUCAAAUUUUCCCUGUAGUAUUUCUGAAAUAAAGCCAAAUUAUUAAU
ensembl:sense_intronic Gm8978 predicted gene 8978